CCUACGGGUGGCAGCAGUGGGGAAUAUUGGACAAUGGGGGCAACCCUGAUCCAGCCAUGCCGCGUGUGUGAAGAAGGCCCUCGGGUUGUAAAGCACUUUCAGUGAGGAAGAACGCCUGGUGGUUAAUACCCAUCAGGAAAGACAUCACUCACAGAAGAAGCACCGGCUAACUCCGUGCCAGCAGCCGCGGUAAUACGGAGGGUGCGAGCGUUAAUCGGAAUUACUGGGCGUAAAGCGCGCGUAGGUGGCUUGACAAGCCGGUUGUGAAAGCCCCGGGCUCAACCUGGGAACGGCAUCCGGAACUGUCAAGCUAGAGUGCAGGAGAGGAAGGUAGAAUUCCCGGUGUAGCGGUGAAAUGCGUAGAGAUCGGGAGGAAUACCAGUGGCGAAGGCGGCCUUCUGGACUGACACUGACACUGAGGUGCGAAAGCGUGGGUAGCAAACAGGAUUAGAUACCCCGGUAGUC
rnacentral:rRNA from 1 species